CGAAUUUCCAAGUUUAGAGUAGCAUUUGAACGCGACGUUAUCAUCUUCCUGCUGUAUACCUGUAUCACAUUAGUUGAAACCAAGACUUGUUCUCAUGGCAGUUUAGGAUACUUUUAACGUGACAGGUUAGGAUAAUUAAGUUAAGGAUAGGAAAAGGUGUAGGGUUAGCUAAAAUUGUCCCUGGUGUGACUGGAACAUAUCUAACUGCAACCAGGCCUGCCAUGAGAACAGUCUUGGUUUCCACUAACGCAAUGACGCGUAACCGGACAUCUCAGCGUCAGGAACUACAUAAGAGCUGUUACCAAAAUUCUCAUUUACAUUUGCUCGCGUUUAGACCUCUGGAAAAGUUAAUAGGUCUAUUUGACAAUUUACUAAUGGGAUUUUUUUUGUUGUCCUCGUUUGACAAAAUAAUUAAUAGGCCUAUCAAGAAGAAGUAGGCUACCUCAGGUUGCAGUUACUUUGUUGUAGUCUACUCUGAAGAGAAGUGUAUUAUCUUAUCGAAAAAAGCCACUGAAACACCAAAAGAUGGACUCACCAGCAAGCCCCCUCACUCGUGCUGGGAGGACUUUCUGGACAGUUUGGGUGAGUUUCUGCGCUGAAAUAAUUUACUACAGGACACUAUUUGUUAUAGCCUACCGUGAUUGGUUCAUUAUUUCCUAUUGUUAUAAUUACAAUAGAUAUAUUUUAGACUACUUAAUAAUUUGUUGAUGAACAAUUAGUUUGAAUUGAGAACUUCCCCAAUGAGGAGAAAAACACAAUGAUUGCAUUAACUCUAUUUCACUGUACCUGGAUUGAUGUAAUGUUAUGUUAUAUGUUAUCAUAUAUGGACAAGGAAGUAAAUGACAUUAACAUAGAGUAAUUCUCUCUCUCUCUCUCUCUCUCUCACACACACACACACACACACACACACACACACACACACACACACACACACACACACACACACAUGCGCACACACACACAAACACUCACACUCACACAUACAAACAGAACUACUUUACGGAAGUUGUGGGGAGGUAUCUAAGCCCAGAGUCCAUUAACAAUGACACAAGCUCAAGACAGGAAGCCACUGCUGCACAACAAACAGACGACCAUGGAGAUGGUGCGAAAAAUGAGAUAAAGGAAACUGAGGUCACUUUUGAAACAGGCUCUGAGGUUAAGAAACCAAGAUCUGUUGUUGCCUGGGAACAGUGCAAUGUCAUCAUUGGUCCAGGCCUCGGCAGAGACAAUGUGCAAUACACUGGACAAUCCAACAGAGGGAGUGAUAGCAAAUCAUCCCCGGAGGGGCAUGAUAUAAAACAAGAGCAGGUGGACCGAACAGAAAAUAAAGGCACAAUCCAGCAUGUUACUAAAGAAGAAUUAAAUAUGGGGAAAGGGGUCCAAUCAGUGGUAGUCACUGGGAUCCCGAUCUUAUUUAGAGAGCCGACAUCUGAAAGGUCAGAGGGCCAGGGAGCACAAGGACAGACUGACAGUUACAACUGUGCUGAAGCAAAAAGAUUAAGAGGUGCAGUGGCAGAAAGAAAAGCGGAGGAAGAAGAAAUCCCUGAAGAAGUUACUGAAGAAUUCCCCUGUGGUGAAGAAGGAACCAAAACAGAAGAACAUGAAAACAAUAGAGAUGGAGAAAUACAUUUUGAUAUAGAGUCCCCAAACCUUACAUCAGCCUGUGCUGAACCUGCCACACUUUUGGAUAAGAAUGGAGACAAGGAAAAUAAGGACAGAUUAAUGAAACACGAUGUGCAAAGUACAGAGGAUGAAACCAUGGUAAAAUUAAAUGAAAACGAUGGAGAGAAAGAAACGGAAGUACUCUUCAUGGAGACAGGCAGAGAAGGGUGGAAAGUAGCAGAAAUAGUAGAAUUCUCAGCGGGAGGGGAGAAUAGCGAUGAUCUGUGUGUAAUCAAAGACAAACUGAGUCGAGAUGGUAAUGAAGUGAAGAAUGACAUGGACAUGGAAGAACUUGGGAGGAAGGAGGAGAGAGAGGAAGAGAAUAGAGCAAUAGAAGAGAUGGGCAGAAGAGAACAGGAAGAGAUAUUGGACAGGGGCUUUGGACCGUACAAUGAUUUCCAAGUCUCAGAAAACAAUAACAAACAUGAAUAUGGUGACAAUCGUUUGAAGUUUGAUGAAGGAACUAUAGAGAGGUUUGAUCAAGAAAAUGACCCCAACCCACAACCACUUUGUGGAGGAUUAUCAGACGAAGACAGAACAUUGGGAAAAGGCCAGGACAUCUUUGUUUCAGAGGCAGAGUUGGAAUUGCCAAUGGCCUAUGACAAAAGAGUCUUUGUGUCAAAUGAUGAGAUAACUAUUGUUAGAGACGAGCAGAGAAUGGAGGGCAACACUGAAAGAAUUGACAGCACAGUGUUAGAGGAAAGAAAAGAAGAGGUAUCAGAGGAUGGAUCCAAAGUGUUUGAGGUCGGGGGCAGUAACAAGAUAGAAGACAUUGCAAUCGGUAUUGGGACGAAGACGGAUACAGAGGCAGAGGAUGUGAAAGAUAAAGUGACUGGGCUGGACACUUUCUUUUAUCAGGAGAGAAAUGUUGUAGUGGAGAAAAAUAAACUACAGGAAGACAAGAUUUUAAAGGAAGACGAAGACCCCCUUAAUGAAGUGGAGGGAAAACGUAUUUCAGUGGUUGACAAUAGAGUGGAAAUCAGAGGCGUGGCAAAAUACAUUUCCCCUGGGCUAUGUGAGGACCUUGUUGUGGCUCAGGAGCCAAAACGUGUAGCGUGUGAAGAAACUCGAGAGGAAAUUCCUGAAAUCAACAACGGCAAAGAGUUAGACGAGAAUACGGCACCGAAGAUCCUGGAAGUUGGCGGCGCUGAAGUCAACACCACCCGUUUACAAGAAGCACACACCAAAAGUGAUACCAAAGGGUUAGAAGGUGUAGAGAACACUGGAACUAGUUUUAAAUUGGACAAUUCACCAGUGAGUGAACUCAUGGAAGGGAAAGAAGACCCGAAAACUGUUGAAGGAUUAUUUGAAAGUGAGGAUAUUGAGAAAGCCUCUGAUACAGUGGUAGACGAGCACACAGUCACGAAAGCAGCGAAAUCACUGGGGGAAACGGAGAGAACAGAUUCUGUAUCACUGAAUGAAACAGAUACUCAAAUACUAGAGGACCUAGCGAAGACAAAGGCUGAAUCACACAAACCGAUGGAGAUUGAGUUAGGACUGUCAGAGGAAGCCGCAGAGACAUAUGUUUGUUUAUCAGAGGAGACACUGAGAACAGAGGCUGGAUUAUACAAAGAGACAGAGGAGAUAAAGGUCGAGUUUAGAGAGGGAUUCAUGGAGUCAAAGGCAGGGGAGACAGUGGGGACAGAAUUUGAAUCAGUGAAGGAGACACAGGCAGAAAUACCAGAAGUGAGGACCGGGGUUGUGCCAUCAGACGACAAAGAUGAGACAGAGUCUGGAUCAAUGCAGGAAUCAGCAGAUACCAAUUUUGGAUUGCUAAGAGAAACUGUGGCGGAAGGGUUACAAAAGGGGGCCGAGGUAGACACACCAGAGGUGAGGACAGUGACUGUGCUGUCAAUGGAGACAAACACAGAGGAAUCAGUGGAAUCUGAGGCUCGGGUCAUGUUGGAAACAGAAUCUGGAUUAGUGAAAAAACAUGAGGCAGAAAUACCAGAUGUGAGAACUGAAACUGCAUCAUCAGAAAGAACUGUGACGACAGAGGCAGGAUUAUCAAUGAACAUGACAUUGUACCCAUCAUCAAUUCACACAGAGGCUGUGUUUCUCACAGAGACAAAGGCUGUGUCAUCUAAUGAGUCACUGGAAACAGACAAUGGAUUAUCAGACAAAUCAUCUGAGGCUGGGACUAAAUCACAGGGAAUGGUAGAGGCUGGAUUACCAGAUUCGACAGAAAUAGAGGCCAAAUUAUUUGAGGAAAUGGUUUGUGGAGAAGUUGUACUAUCACAGGACACAGAAGAUGAAUUAUCAGAGGAAAAAUAUAAUAUAAAAGCUACAUUAAUGAAAGAAUUAGUGGAGCCAGGGGCUGGGGAAACAUUGGAGCCCGAAAAGGGAAUCAUGAAUGAGACAGAAGCAGCAAUACUUGAUAUGAAGAUUGAGGAAUCGCCAUCAGAGGAAACAGAGUCUGGAAUAGUUGACACAGAGGCCAGAAUUUUUCUGGAAACGACAGCGAUUGAGUCUGAAUUAUUGGAGACUGAGUCUGGAUCACAGAAGGACAAAGAGACAAAAAGACAGAGUAUUGAGACAGAGCCAACGGGGGAGACAGACGUAGAGGAAUUAGUGGAAUCUGAGGCUGGGGAUACGGUGGAGGCAGAAAUUGGAUUAGUGAGGACAGAAGCCGAAUUACCAGAGGAAGUUAGGCCAAAGAUAGAGCAAUUGGAAAAAAUGAAUAGAACAGGUGCUGAUUCAUCAGAGGACACAGAUGUGACAGAGGUCAGAUUUUCAGAGGAGAUAGAGACUGAUUUAGUAGAGACCAAGUAUGGGUUACAGAAGAACAUAGAAGAAGACAUACUACAUGAGAGAACAGAGACUGUGCUGUCGGUGGAAACAGUAGAGAUGGAUACGGACUCAUCAGACAAGUCACUGGAGUCCAGAUCACUUGAAAUAUCAGAGGCUGGAUUAUCUGAAGAAUCAGUGGACAGUGAGGAUGGAUUAAAGGAUAUUUACACAGAAAUACCAGAUGUGGAGAAAGAGUCUGGAUUAGCAGAGGAGACCGUAGAUGCUGGAUUAUCAGAGGAAACAGAUGUGUCAGACACAGAAUUAGUGAAAAAUACAACGGCUCUGAUAAUGCUAGAGGCUGAACUUUCAGAGGCGACAGAGGCUGUGUUAAAAGAGAAGGCAGGAGAUAACACGGCAAACAAAUCACUGGAAAUUGAGGUAGGAUUAUUUUGGGAAAACGAUGAGACCGAGGCUUUGGUAACAGAGGAAGUUGUGAAGACAGGGCCUGUUUUAUCGAAGCAGACAGAUUUUGGAUCACAGGGUCAACUACCGGAGAUCGACGAUGGAAUAAUAGAGAAAUCCCAAAUUGGGCAGUCUGGGGAAACUGUGGAAACAGAUGCAGGAUUACCAGAGGAAAACAGAGGGGAGGGUGCAAAAGCAGGAUUCAGUUCCCCGUCAGGAACCAAAAAUGUAGACCAAAGUCUUCAGCUUCAGUUUGACGCCUCCUCUUUGGACUUCACUGCUCAAAAGUCUCGCAUUGCCCUCAAGAAUCCACAUGCCCGUCCACCCAGGGAUCCCCGUACUCUUCUACAGAUGCCAUCUUUGACCCCCUCCCCUUCAAAACCCACCGUACACAUUCCAGUCAGAGGCCCAACAGGGAUACCAAUGAGGGGCAUGGGCGGCAUCGGAAUCAAACUACCUGGACUCGGUGCAGGGCCCCCCAUCUUAAGAAAGACCGGAAAGGGGGUGAUAGGUGAAAAUAACACCGAAAAUAUCCCUCAGAAAUCUGAGCUUGAGCCAGAUGUAAGGGAUGAAUCUCCCAAGAAAGACGAGACGCAAGAGGAGCGCAAAACUAAAUGGACACCGCCUAGGCAUCCAGGAUUUGGAAAUCCCCUGAUGAUGAAUGAGCUGAAGAACAAGCUAAAGAAGACUCCAAAAGAGAGCGGAGAUGAUUGACAGGACCUUUUUUCUCAUUGGUGAACCAUGGUCCAUGAACAAUGGGUUUUAAUUUAUCAUAAGUAUCUCCAUUUUAUUUCAAACUAUCUUUGUCUAUUUCUUUUGAAUAUCUUUGUAUGAACAUUUUCAAAAAAAAUUAAUACAUUUUUGUUUUGGACAGUGUUUACUUGUUCCAGAGGGUUUUUAAAAACUGGUGUGAUAAAAAAAAGUUGACUGCUCAAGGCAUUAAAUUGAUUCAAGAAGACUAUUUGUGACAUUUGUUUAUUUCUUCAUCAGUGGGUUUGUUCCAGCAAAAAUACACCUCUUAUUAUUUCCGUGCUAAUUAUUGCUGUUGCUACUGUAGUUACCUACAGGGAAACCAGCUAUAGCGUCUUGAUAUUUGGGAUAGCCUAUAAUUGCCUAUACUGAUUGGUCUUAUGAAGCUGUUAUAUAAACCUUAAGAUUCAUUAUAUUUUUUUAAAACUGUUUAUUUUUUGGGGGGCUUGCCUGUUCGCUUGUUAUUUUGGCAUUAAUAUGUCACAUAUCAGUUUGCAAACAAUGUCAAAUAAAAUAAAAAAAUGUCAUUGAGUUAAUAAAGCUGCAUACAAACAUGGUA
ensembl:lncRNA